rnacentral:tmRNA from 1 species
GCCGACGCGAAGGCAUCCUGUCGAUGGGAGGUCAGAGCGUAUAAGAAAAAAACAUCGACUACGCUUGUAGUACAUCCUCCGAUAGGUUUGUUUGGACGGGGAGUUCGACUCUCCCCCAUCUCCACCA